CAGUCGCCACGGGAAAACGGAGGAUCCAAGCGUUAUCCGGAUUUAUUGGGUUUAAAGGGUGCGUAGGUGGCCUGUUAAGUCAGGGGUGAAAGACGGUAGCUUAACUAUCGCAGUGCCCUUGAUACUGAUGGGCUUGAAUGAACUAGAGGUAGGCGGAAUGUGACAAGUAGCGGUGAAAUGCAUAGAUAUGUCACAGAACACCAAUUGCGAAGGCAGCUUACUAUGGUUUUAUUGACACUGAGGCACGAAAGCGUGGGGAUCAAACAGGAUUAGAUACCCGGGUAGUCCCUGUCUCUUAUAC
rnacentral:rRNA from 1 species